rnacentral:rRNA from 1 species
CACGUAGGCACCAAGCGUUGUCCGGAUUUAUUGGGCGUAAAGAGCUCGUAGGCGGUUCAGUAAGUCAGGUGUGAAAUCUUUGGGCUUAACCCAAAGCGUGCACUUGAUACUGCUGUGACUUGAGUUCGGUAGGGGAGUUGGGGAAUUCCUAGUGUAGCGGUGAAAUGCGCAGAUAUUUAGGAGGAACACCGGUGGCGAAGGCGCCCACUCUGGGCCGAAACUGACGCUGAGGAGCGAAAGCGUGGGUAGCAAACAGG